AGUGAACGCUGGCGGUAGGCCUAACACAUGCAAGUCGAACGGCAGCACACUAAGAGCUUGCUCUUACGGGUGGCGAGUGGCGGACGGGUGAGGAAUACAUCGGAAUCUACUUUUUCGUGGGGGAUAACGUAGGGAAACUUACGCUAAUACCGCAUACGACCUACGGGUGAAAGCAGGGGAUCUUCGGACCUUGCGCGAUUGAAUGAGCCGAUGUCGGAUUAGCUAGUUGGCGGGGUAAAGUCCCACCAAGGCGGCGAUCCGUAGCUGGUCUGAGAGGAUGGUCAGCCGCACUGGAACUGAGACACGGUCCAGACUCCUACGGGAGGCAGCAGUGGGGAAUAUUGGACAAUGGGCGCAAGCCUGAUCCAGCCAUACCGCGUGGGUGAAGAAGGCCUUCGGGUUGUAAAGCCCUUUUGUUGGGAAAGAAAAGCAGCAGGUUAAUACCCCGCUGUUCUGACGGUACCCAAAGAAUAAGCACCGGCUAACUUCGUG
rnacentral:rRNA from 1 species